rnacentral:lncRNA from 1 species
UAAGAUAGAAAUAAGUUAGUAUUUAAAAUGCAAACAAAAAUCAUCAGACUAAAUAAAAUUCCAAGCAGGGAUAUAAAACACGAAUAUAAAAAGUCUGAUAUUUAAAAUGCAAACAAACAACACAGCAAAGCGGUAAAACUUGCUGCGCUUACAAAAAUGUAAUCAGGGGUUCUCACAAAAUCACAAAAACACAUAAAAACACAUAAUAAUAAUAAAAGAGCCGCCACCGUCGAUCAAGAACCCAAUUCUGGGAACAAAAGUUGGGAGAUGAUGGUGGAAACUUCAAACUAAGUACGAAAAACAAUCUACCUAGCGAUGACACAAGAGUACAAGCAAGAAACCAGCAUUUAUUGUAACCAUCCCCUGAUGAAUCACCCAGCACGAUUCACUUCUUCUUCUGGGCAGCCUUGGUGACCUUGGCUCCAGUGGGAUCCUUCUUCUCAACGUUCUUGAUGACUCCCACAGCAACAGUUUGACGCAUGUCCCUCACAGCAAAACGUCCAAGAGGUGGGUACUCAGAGAAAGUCUCCACAACCAUUGGUUUGGUAGGAACCAUCUUCACGAAACCAGCAUCACCGUUCUUCAAGAACUUAGGCUCCUUCUCGAGCUCUUUGCCAGAACGCCUGUCAAUCUUGGUCAUAAGUUCAGCGAACUUGACAGCAAUGUGGGAGGUGUGGCAAUCCAGAACAGGGGCAUAGCCAUUUCCAAUCUGACCAGGGUGGUUCAUGAUGAUAACCUGGGAGGUGAAGUUAGCAGCCUCCUUAGCAGGAUCAUCCUUGGAGUUUGAAGCAACAUAACCACGCUUGAGAUCUUUAACAGCAACAUUCUUCACAUUGAAACCGACGUUGUCACCAGGGAGAGCUUCUGUGAGAGCUUCAUGGUGCAUCUCGACAGACUUAACUUCAGUUGUCAGUCCAGUUGGUGCAAAAGUCACCACCAUUCCAGGCUUGAUGACACCAGUUUCAACACGUCCGACAGGAACAGUUCCGAUUCCUCCAAUCUUGUAGACAUCCUGAAGAGGAAGCCUGAGGGGCUUGUCUGAUGGCCUCUUGGGCUCAGUGAUCUGGUCAAGUGCCUCGAGCAAGGUAGGUCCCUUGUACCAGUCAAGGUUUGUGGACCUCUCAAUCAUGUUGUCUCCCUCAAAACCAGAGAUUGGAACAAAAGGAAUCUUGUCUGGAUUGUAUCCCACUUUCUUCAAGUAGGAGGAGACUUCCUUCACAAUUUCAUCAUACCUAGCCUUGGAGUACUUGGGUGUAGUAGCAUCCAUCUGAUCCACAGAAAGACAACAACAUCAGUUAAAACAAAUUAAAUUCAAAAGUAAUCAAUACAAGAGAAAUUAUUCAAAGGCUUAAAAUCUAAAACAUAAUUAACCUUGUUACAGCAACAAAUCAUCUGCUUCACACCAAGAGUGAAUGAAAGAAGAGCAUGUUCACGAGUCUGCCCAUCCUUAGAAAUUCCAGCUUCAAAACCACCAGUGGUGGAAUCAAUGAUCAGCACAGCACAGUCAGCUUGGGAUGUCCCUGUAAUCAUGUUCUUAAUGAAAUCCCUGUGUCCGGGAGCAUCAAUAACAGUGCAGUAGUACUUGGUGGUUUCAAACUUCCACAACGCAAUAUCAAUUGUAAUCCCUCUUUCACGCUCAGCCUUAAGCUUGUCAAGCACCCAGGCAUACUUGAAUGACCUCUUGUUCAUCUCAGCAGCUUCCUUCUCGAACCUCUCAAUCACACGCUUGUCAAUUCCUCCAAGCUUGUAAAUCAGAUGGCCAGUGGUAGUAGACUUCCCAGAGUCGACAUGGCCAAUGACCACAAUACUGAUGUGAACCUUUUCCUUACCCAUAAUUGCCUUUGGAAAUCUGCAAAAAACAAGAGUCAAAACAAUUAUUAAUAUCGAUGAAAUCAAUAAAUAGCCACAGACCACAAAAAAUGAGGUGAGAUUCGCCAUUUACAUAGCAAUGGUGCAUAGCCAUAGAAAAAAAUCAGGUAAUAUCUAUAAAAGACAACAAAUGUAUUACACACAAAGUAAGGGGUAAUACCUAAAAAUAUCAAACCAAUAACCAUAAAAUUAUCGGACAAUAUCUAAAACCCCAUCAUACAAAAUUGGAAAACAUGCAUGAGCAUAAAAAAUAUCAGAUAAUACGUAAAAUCAAAUAAAAAAGCACAUGCAAUCGGGUAUAAUCAAUUAAAGUGAAUCGGACCCAGAAUUUAUACCCUCACGCAGAUCAGAUUAUAGACAAGUCAAAAUAAAGAUACAACAUCACAUGCAAUCAAGAUUCAUGACAACCACACAUUAAACAUGUCAUCACAUAAAUAAUCACCAAAACCUGGUAAAAUCAACGACUUGAAUCGGUUAAAACGAAAAGUUAAUAGAUCUAUUCAUCAGAAAUAAGAAAAAUCGAAAACAAAACUUUUAUCAGAUCUGGAUCUGGAAUUUGAAUAUGCGUAGCACACAAAUCCACAAAAAUCAAAUCAAAUCUAGCUAUUCCAUAGCUAUAAAAGAAAACGAAAAAAAAAAUCAUUUUUUGAAAACAUCUCACCGAUUAUAACCAUCAACUCAAACAAAAAUCGAAAACAACAUAAAAUUCAUAUGGGAAGAUAAAAAUUUAUCAACAAAGCUUAGAUAAAUUGAAGACAUCGGCGAUAGAUACCUAUUAAAUCGAAAUAAGAGAACGUACCUAGAAGCUGCGCUAAAACCCUAGCCGCAAGAGAAGAGAGGCGAAGAAUAGAGUGAAGAGAAGUGAGGAAACGAGGGUUAGAGGGUUUAUUUAUAGGCUCCAAGUGGUUUCCCUAUGUUGACAAAAGUACCCUCAGUAUUUUACGUAGUUCCAUUUGUGUCCUGUUUGCUUUCGCUGGCGGUGCGGGCGGGUCCGAGAAUGUCGUGACGAAGCCCUAGGUAACGUUAGUUCAAUUAUGCG